AUUGAACGCUGGCGGCAGGCCUAACACAUGCAAGUCGAACGAGUGGCGGACGGGUGAGUAAUGUCUGGAAACUGCCCGAUGGAGGGGGAUAACUACUGGAAACGGUAGCUAAUCCCGCAUACCAUCGGAUGUGCCCAGUGCGGAUUAGCUUGUAGGUGAGGUAACGGCUCACCUAGGCGACGCUCCCCAGCUGGUCUGAGCGGAGGACCAGCCACACUGGAACUGAGAAACGGUCCAGACUCCUACGGGAGGCAGCGGUGGGGAAUAUGGCACAAGGGGCGAAAGCCUGAUGCAGCCAUGCCGCGUGUAUGAAGAAGGCCUUCGGUUUGUAAAGUACUUUCAGCGGGGAGGCGUUACCCGCAGAAGAAGCACCGGCUAACUCCGUGCCAGCAGCCGCGGUAAUUC
rnacentral:rRNA from 1 species